rnacentral:piRNA from 1 species
UCUGCCCUGCCUUCUGUGUGGUCUUGCUUUU